rnacentral:rRNA from 1 species
ACAGAGGGUGCGAGCGUUGUCCGGAAUCACUGGGCGUAAAGGGCGCGUAGGCGGUUUUGUAAGUCGGAGGUGAAAUGCUGCGGCUCAACCGCAGCGCUGCCUUCGAGACUGCAAGACUGGAGCACGGUAGAGGCGGAUGGAAUUCCCGGUGUAGCGGUGGAAUGCGUAGAGAUCGGGAAGAACACCAAUGGCGAAGGCAGUCCGCUGGGCCGUUGCUGACGCUGAGGCGCGACAGCGUGGGGAGCAAACAGGAUUAGAUACCCUGGUAGUCCACGCCGUAAACGAUGGGCACUAGGCGUCGGGGGGAGCGACCCUCCCGGUGCCGUCGCUAACGCAGUAAGUGCCCCGCCUGGGGAGUACGGCCGCAAGGUUG